rnacentral:rRNA from 1 species
GCGUGACGAUGAAGGCUCUCGGGUCGUAAAGUUCUGUUGUUAGGGACGAACAAGUGCCGUUCGAAUAGGGCGGCACCUUGACGGUACCUAACGAGAAAGCCACGGCUAACUACGUGCCAGCAGCCGCGGUAAUACGUAGGUGGCAAGCGUUGUCCGGAAUUAUUGGGCGUAAAGCGCGCGCAGGCGGUUAUGUAAGUCUGAUGUUAAAGCCCGGGGCUCAACCUCGGUCCGCAUUGGAAACUGUGUAACUUGAGUGCAGAAGAGGAAAGUGGUAUUCCACGUGUAGCGGUGAAAUGCGUAGAGAUGUGGAGGAACACCAGUGGCGAAGGCGACUUUCUGGUCUGUAACUGACGCUGAGGCGCGAAAGCGUGGGGAGCAAACAGGAUUAGAUACCCUGGUAGUCCACGCCGUAAACGAUGAGUGCUAGGUGUUGGGGGUUUCAAUACCCUCAGUGCCGCAGCUAACGCAAUAAGCACUCCGCCUGGGGAGUAC